AAGCGCCUAUGACCAGACUUGGGCCCGGUGAAUCAUCCAGCGUUCUCGCUGGUGCACUUUGCCGGGCACAGGCCAGCAUCAGUUUGUCUUGGGGGAAAAAGGCUUUGGGAACGUGGCUCCCUCGGGAGUGUUAUAGACCAUUGCAUAAUACCCUGGGACGGACUGAGGUUCGCGCAUCUGCAAGGAUGCUGGCGUAAUGGUCAUCAGCGA
rnacentral:rRNA from 1 species